CUCGGAGGAGAGAAAGAUCCGACGAGGUCAACGGGGACCAAGCAAGGCUGCGCAGGGAGCUGCUUUGGGACCUUCCCCGGGUUCGGGACAGAGCCUGGGCCACACCAGGGGCCGACAGAAAGCUUGGGGCCCAGCGUGACCAGACCCUUUCAGCCUGGACUCUUGAAUUCACAGCACGCUAACCGGAAGAGACUUUCCAUCGAGAACGCUGCGCUCCAGCAAACCGAGAAAACGUGGAGGGAGGAAACCACCUUGCCCGUUUUUUACAAAGCCUCAAAAUUUGGUGUUGCCUGCUGAGCCUGAUGACGAGAUUUCUACAAUAGAUGUUGUUGAGUAGAAAAAGCAUCAAGGCCAAGAAAUUUAAGCUAUGGAUGAGCUCCUUGAAAUGCCUAAAUCAGGUGGGAGAAAUGAUGGAUAAUUAUAGGAUACAAUUGUUGAGUUAUUGUCCAUCCACCUAAAAACAGAAGGUUUUAAUCGGUGCCAAAAUGGGACGUGAUUAAGCAGUCAGAAUGGAAUCCUUUAAAACAGGACGGUUCCGCACUGCACGAAAGGAGGGAGGUGGGCACUCCCCCUGACGAGGCUCUGGGCUGCACAGCACGCAUACGGUGAAGGCAUCGCCCCUACUUCGUGGCAUCCGACCAUCGUUUUUAAUUUGGAGAUAUCUCCAAGAGCCGAAAGUGGAACUACCGUUUGAUCCAGCAAUCCCACCACUAGGCAUCUCCCCAAAGGAAAAAAAAAAAGGCGCUCUAGAAAAAAGACAUCUGCACUCAAAUGUUUAAUGGCAGCACCGUUCACAAUGGCAAAGAGGUGGACACAACCCACGUGCCCAUCAAUACACGAGCGGAUUAAUAAAAGGCGGUGUACGUAGACCAUGCAGUUCUACCUAGCCACAAAACACAACGGUGAUCCAGCACCUCUUAGAUGAUCCUGGACAGAGCCCGAGCCCGUUCUUCGAGGUGAGGCAUCACAAAGAUGGAAAAACACGCACCACAUGUACUCGCCAUCAAAUUGGUACUAACUCGUCAACAGCAAUAAGGUGCUCACAAGUCCUCUUCUCGGUAAUUGGCUUUCUGCCAGGCGAGCAACAGAGAACCCCCGCCGUGGGUUUGUUAACAGUACCGAGAGCAUCCCUGUGGCCCUCUCAUCCUGGCCUUUACACAGAUGCUUAGGGUUAGAUGGGUUUUCUUCUCCCAAGCAAUUUCCGUGGGCGUGAUCUCAAUGCCCGGUACCAAAUGUCCUGCGUCAGAGUAGAAGAUGCACCUUGGAAACAUCGCUUUGUGAACCAGGGGCCUGUGCACGGGAAAGUGCGGAGUCAGGGCCCGCUCUCUUGGUCUUCGGGGCACGCUGAGCCUGCUGCCCUUUCCCAGGUCUUUGGAUGGUGCCUUUGAAGCUUGAUGGAAAAGCAGCAUUUGGAAGACAAGUGUUUACAGGGAAGAGAUUUUUCUCUUUUUGUGUCUAGUUCAUGGUGUCUUUGGCAGAUGUGUGGUCACUGCAGCAUCCUACAGAGCAUGUCCUAAUGUUCAAAGGCAGGGCAGUAGCUUCUAGUAACAGCGUGGGAUUUGUACAUUGCUUUGUUGACUUGUCAUUACACAACAGCGCCUUUCAGAAGGUCAUGUGCAAAUCUAGCACAUUCAGUUGUCCUGUAUAAGAGAAUGCAAUUGCACCCAAAAUAUUUACAAAUUGUUUCUUCUGAAUGCUGGGCUCUUCUAUAGUAUCUCCAGAUCAUGUCAACCCUUCGUUACCAAAAUUUGGGGGCUAAAAAAUAUUCACUUGUUUCUGAAAUCUUGAUUCUCAUCUUCAAAAGUGUACAACAGCCUACUGAGACGGGAAGGGGUGUUACUUAAGCCGGCAUGAUCAGUGGGCCACGAGAUUCCAGCUCAUGGAACACUCUGCCAGACUCAGCGGGAUGAGAUCACAUAGCUUUGCAUUGUCCCAACCCUGGAUCCCGGCUCACCUGUUUGGAAGAGAAUGUCCCAGCAUGAAAGGGGAAGCCAAACCUUGCUUCCUAAGUACAGUAACCGAAGCUGUUUAACCCACGGGAAAAAAAACUCAGUGUGGGGAAUAGGAGAUGAAGCUGGGUGGAUUUGUGAUCAUGAUUUUAAAAAGGACCUAUGAGUAAGUCAGGCCUGGGCAGAGAUGACCUGGGAGCUCCCAGGUAGACCUCCAACUAAAAAGGACCCAGGGGGUGGGGGUGGGGGGGCAUUGAACAUGAGCAAACUGAACUACAUUCCUUUAAUGCUCUGUCCAGCCCUAAAAUUCAAUGAAUUAGCUCUGUCCUCCUUUCUCUGUCUUCUAAAGUGAACUACUGUAUCUUCUGCAAAGCCAAGUUGAGAAUUCUGGAUUAAGCUUUACUCUUCCCCUCCCCAAGCAACUGGCAGUCGAAUGGUGGCCUGCGCAGAGACGGGCAGGCAGGCUUCCGAGAGCGGCCGCUUAGCUCUGCGGCGCCAGGAGGCCUCAGCUGCCCCCCGCCCUGCUCCCCUCGGCGGGAGCUCACGUUAGUGUCUGUGGGUGGAAGAGACUUGUGCCCCACAAGGAGAGACGAGACAGGAGAACUCUGUCUAAAGGACGUGUUUUUUCCCUACUAGAACACUAAGGCUAUAGGCCCAGUAAAAUAAAUAAAUAUAAAAAUGAAAAUAAAAGUCCCACGGGUCUUUCUAGAGACCGGGGUGUCCUGGAUAGGGUCUGGCUCUGAGGAACUGGGGACCUGGGUUCUGAUUAGUUCUCUGGAACUUACCACGAGAUCCUGCACGAGUCGCCUGGGGACCUCAGUCCCCGAGUUAGAAAUUGACAACGGUGGGGACCAGAGGACCAUCAUGACACCUUCCCACUCUGACCUUUAAGCGCGGCCUGCUCCGUCAGUGCUCAACACAACGGCAGCAACCUCGGGAAACCUGGAGACAGGUGGAGCAGCUAGAGAGUCAGGAUGACAGGAUCACUCUGACGGACACACCCCACUGCUCCAGUAGCAGCAUUUGACAUCUGAUGACAGGUCAGAAGCCACCACUGCCCUGGCCCCACCAUUUCUCCUCACGGUGUAGAUUAACCCACAUAGGAUCAUUCCCAUUUCUUUAUGCUUGCCCUGUUCCCUUCUACCACAGGGCCUUUGUACAUGCUGCAGCCGCAACCUGGAGUCCUCUUCCCUCUUUACCUGGUUAACUGCCACUCAUUCUUCAACCUUACUUUAAGCAUCUCCAAACUCCCCAGCCACAUCAGUUCUCCCUGUUAGAUAUUCUCACUGUUCCUCAUAUCUGUUAUUCAGAAUAUUUACAUAGUAGAGUUAAAAUGUUCCAUUUGUGUGUGCAAUUACUGUAAAAUCACUUCCUAGUAGCCAGAUACUGCAGGAGGGAAAAGACCACUUCUAUGUAAGUAUCUAGCACAGUGUCUGACACUUAGUAGACACUUAACAAAUUUUUUUAAUAAAUGCUUAAAUAUCUUUUCAUGGGUCAUAAU